rnacentral:rRNA from 1 species
UACAGAGGGUGCAAACGUUGCUCGGAAUCAUUGGGCGUAAAGCGCACGUAGGCGGCCCAGCAAGUGGGGAGUGAAAGCCCUCGGCUUAACCGAGGAAGUGCUUUCCAAACUACUGGGCUUGAAUACUGGAGAGGGUCGCGGAAUUCCCGGUGUAGAGGUGAAAUGCGUAGAUAUCGUGAGGAAGACCAGUGGCGAAGGCGGGUCUCUGGACAGUUCCUGACACUGAGGCACGAAGGCCAGGGGAGCAAACGGG